UACUGCUACUUGUGCCUUUGUUGUUACGUUUACAUGAUCGAAAUGUUUAACUGGUAUGACGAAGUCGACCUACUCAAUGUCAUUGAUCUAAUGGAUAAUUACCUUUGAAAGACAGGAAAAACAGGCACCGAGCACCGCAUCUUGGCCUGGUAGCGGCCUUCUUUGGUGUUGGGCUACCAGAUUUUGGUCCUUUUUUAACCAAUGGGCUAUAUCUGUAAAGAGUAAGAAUACGAGCCAUGUGAAAGAUUCCCGAAAUCAGUCCCUUUGAUGUAGAAGGCCCCACGGAUGAUCGGGAAUACUGUUUCAUAUGCGCUUUGAUCCGUUUAUUAGAUCUACAUUAAAAUUAAUUUUCCAGAUCAAGUAGGCCGAGAAUUGGGAUGUAAGUACGCGCCUUCUUGGCCAGGUUUGCUGUGGCCUGUGACUACCUUUGAAGUAGGUCCCACAGAAUAUCUUCCAUAUGGUUUUUAUAGAACAUUUUCAGAAGCCCCGGCGCAGGACCAUGCAGGAGCGCACUAGCAUGCCGGAUAUGAAGAGACCUGUGGAGUAGAAAAUGAAUAAUGAGUAAGACCAUGCAGACGAUAUAUAUUAAAUGAAAAGACUAUGAAAAAACUCGCAUAAAUUGUAUGCAAAAAUCAUUUAGAAAUGUUUAAUUCGCAAACACCCGUUUUUUUGGGAGCCAUAGUCCGAAGUUAAGCGCAUUAAAGAUAAUUGAAAUUUAUAUUAUGUAAAUUGGCAGCAGCGGGAAAAGUAAAAGUGGCAAAUGGGUGCAAAAACUGUUUUCCCAAGAAUACAAAAAAAAGGAAAGCAAAAAAUAUAAAACAAUAAACAAAUUAAGUGCGUGACCCUCACAGAAUAUCUCGUAUUUCUACAGUUUUUUCUCAUCAUAAUUGUGAUAAUUGUUUUCCAAUCGAUGGAGCAGAAACGCAACGCACGCCAUUCAAUCAGAAAGUCGGCCCAUUUCCUCCUGCACACCCAAUCCAUCAGCCGUCCCCGGUCUGGUGUUUCUUUUGCUCAUUUCGCAUAAAUAAACGCAUGCAAAAACGAGACCGUUGAUGGCCAUUUGAAAAGCUGCAGCUGGACUUGGUCUUCAAAUGAAAAUUAACACCCACGCACACUGCAUAAUGGAAAUGGUUUUCGGAAAAAGAAAAUAGCAACUCAAUCGGUCAAUAAAUAAAUUAGUUUUUAGCUAAAUUCAUGCAUUAAAAUGGUGAUUAUUGGCAACCUUCUGACAUUUGGUCAUAAUUGGUUUUCAGUAUUUUUGAUGUCGAACCAUUUGAAUUUAAAUUGAAGACUACCGCCAGGCUCUGUAUUAUUCAUGACGCUUCAUUACGUUCACGUAUACAUUCAUGCGUAUAUAUUACGUAUACGUAGUGUAUACGAGCUUUAAAAUUGAUUACGAAAUGGAUAUCCGGCUGGAAAAUCAUUUCCGGGAUUUUAGAUAACAAAAUUAUUUUUAUAUUGUGCGAGCAUUUAAUUUAAAUAACUUUAUGAGCGCCUGAAUUGGUUUACAUUCGAGGAAUUAUUGGUUAUUGCGAAGCACCAGUGAAUGACCUCGAAAGUUCUUCAGGACCUUCAUGGUGCUGGUCAUAAAGGUAGCUGGCUCUGCUAAUCGCUCCACUGCCAGAGACAGUCGAGUUGGGGCCCAAAACUGGGGCGGUGCACCGCCCAUGGUACUACAGAGGAUUGGCAGCUGUUUGGAUGGCUGGCUGGCUGGAUGGCAAGGCAAUUGAAAUGGCCAACCGACCUGGACUGCCAAACACAUAGAGACAGAGCAGCAUACAGAGCAGAGCUAGAGAAACCACAGAGCCCCUACACGGUAAUUAUCUAACAAGAUUACGCAAAAUGUGCCCCCCAGAGCCGGGAGCGGAAACAACGACAGCCGUUGCAGAUGCAUCUGCAACAGAGGAAAAGGCAUCCCUCCAACUCUCCAACAACGGCUGAUGACAGUGGGGCAGAAUGCAAAAUGUUGUUAAGUCGCUGCCAAAACGCUCCGUUGCACAAGUGGACUGUGUUCGCUCCACCCGGAAUGGUGGUUAUGGGCGGUGGUGCAUGGCUGGAGGAGGCGUCGGAUUACGGCUCUUAAUCCUGUGAAUUUCUCGCUUUUACAACUGGCUUAAAGUGAAAGUGUGUCAAACUCAGGUGUCCUUGCAUCUGCUGAUGAAUGCCGGUCACAGUCGGAUGCUUGGCAGGGGAGAGAUACGGAAAUCAUUCGCAUUCCCCUUCGCAGUGGGAUGCAGGAUGGGAACCGAGCUCAGGGAUUGAAAAUCUGGCAACAUUAACAUGCCGCAAAAUCGAAUUCUACACAAAAUAAAGGCGUAAGAGGAAAAGGAUACGAGUGAAGGUAAUCUUUCGGGGAAACCAAGUCAAGGCUAAGCCCUGGAAUGGCCUGGGAGACGGGGAGAUGGCGAACCACAUCAAAAUCAAGUCAAAACCUAGACAAACACACUUGUUGGCUUAUCAUGUUACCCAUGUUAAGCGUAUUAAUGGCAGCGAUGACGACAACAACGAAUAGGACAAGGACAAGGAGCACAAGGACAAGGAUGACUAUGUGCCACAUCUCUGAAUGUUGAUCUUCAGGCUCCAAAGGCCAACAACAAUAAAAGGGCGUCAGGGCGUCAGGGCGACAGCCAGUGCGGCAAACAAACAAGCAAACGGGCCAAGUUAACAAAACGAAAAGAAGGAAAAGUAAAAUAUUAAUAGCCAGCUACUAAAAUAGCAAAAGCAGAGAUCCAAACACAAAGAAUCAGCAUUCAGCAUCGGGGUCGUGCCACAGACGCACGAGUUUUCACUGCCUUGAAGGAGGGACCGCCAAGGAGCACCAGGAG